rnacentral:piRNA from 1 species
UGGCACAAAGGGCAGAUG